UAUGUAGGCGGACUGACAAGUCGGGAGUGAAAUCCCAGGGCUCAACCCUGGAACUGCUUCCGAAACUGUUAGUCUAGAAUACUGGAGAGGUUGGGAGAAUUCCUAGUGUAGAGGUGAAAUUCGCAGAUAUUAGGAGGAAUACCAGUGGCGUAGGCGCCCAACUGGACAGUUAUUGACGCUCAGAUACGAAAGCGUGGGGAGCAAACAGGAUUAGAUACCCUGGUAGUCC
rnacentral:rRNA from 1 species